GACGAGGGACCUAGCGUUGUUCGGAAUCAUUGGGCGUAAAGCGGGUGUAGGCGGGCUUCUAAGUCAGGUGUGAAAUCCCAGGGCUCAACCCUGGAAGUGCACUUGAUACUGGAAGUCUUUGAAUGUGGUAGAGGCUAUUAGAAUUCUUGGUGUAGUGGUGAAAAUACGUAGAUAUCAAGAGGAUACCGGAGGCGAAGGCGGAUACUGGGGCCAAACAUUUGACGCUGAGACCC
rnacentral:rRNA from 1 species